rnacentral:tRNA from 1 species
ACCUUCAUGGUGUAAUGGUAGCACACUCGGCACGUAUUCUAGAGGUCCAGGUUCGAGUCCCGGUAAGGGCA